UACUCCUACGGGAGGCAGCAGUGGGGAAUUUUGGACAAUGGGGGGAACCCUGAUCCAGCCAUGCCGCGUGAGUGAAGAAGGCCUUCGGGUUGUAAAGCUCUUUCGGCCGGGAAGAAAUCGCGCACUCUACAUAGUGGGUGGAUGACGGUACCGGACUAAGAAGCACCGGCUAACUACGUGCCAGCAGCCGCGGUAAUA
rnacentral:rRNA from 1 species